UGAGGAAUAUUGGUCAAUGGGCGCAAGCCUGAACCAGCCAUCCCGCGUGAAGGAUGACGGCCCUAUGGGUUGUAAACUUCUUUUAUGUGCCAAGAAUGGUGGUUACGUGUAACCAUUUGACGGUAGCACACGAAUAAGCAUCGGCUAACUCCGUGCCAGCAGCCGCGGUAAUACGGAGGAUGCAAGCGUUAUCCGGAUUCAUUGGGUUUAAAGGGUACGUAGGUGGCCUUGUAAGUCAGUGGUGAAAUCCUGCCGCUUAACGGUAGAACUGCCAUUGAAACUGCUGGGCUUGAGUAUAGUUGAGGUAGGCGGAAUGUGUAGUGUAGCGGUGAAAUGCUUAGAUAUUACACAGAACCCCGAUUGCGAAGGCAGCUUACUAAACUAUAACUGACACUGAUGUACGAAAGCGUGGGGAGCGAACAGGAUUAGAUACCCCCGUAGUCC
rnacentral:rRNA from 1 species